CGCGUAGGCGGCGAGGCAAGUUGGAUGUGAAAGCCCUGGGCUCAACCUAGGAUGUGCAUACAAAACUGCCUCGCUUGAAUCUCGGAGGGGGUCAGGGAAUUCCCGGUGUAGAGGUGAAAUUCGUAGAUAUCGGGAGGAACACCAGUGGCGAAGGCGCUGACCUGGACGAUGAUUGACGCUGAGGCGCGAAAGCGUGGGGAGCAAACAG
rnacentral:rRNA from 1 species